GCGGCUGUAGCUCAACGGAUAGAGCAACGGCCUACGGAGCCGUAGGUUGCAGGUUCAAGUCCUGUCAGCCGCG
rnacentral:tRNA from 2 species